UGUUGUUGCGUUGCUGAAUUCGGUUCAAAAGUGAGGAGAGAUUUUGUAAAUAGUCCCUUCGUCGGCGUUUCGUGCGUUUAUUUACCUUUUUCGCCGUAUUUUGUUUUGUUUUUUUUCGCGUUCACUGGCUUGCCAGCUGCCUUCCAUUCAGCACUGUGAGAAAAUCGACCACCCGAUGAUGCUGACGAUGCGGUGGAAUUUAAUUGCAAAUCGCAUUUUAUCCUUGGCUGCUUGCGGUUUCCUUUUCGCCUUUGUUGUUGUUGCUGUUGUUGGUGGUGUUGCUGUUGUGUGCAGCAAAUAAACUCGUUUCGUGCACUAGUGUGCGUGUGCCCUCGUGCGUGUGUGUGUGUGUCUGUGUUUGUUUGUUUGUUUGUUUGUUUGUUUGCGCGGCUUUUGAUUUCUUGUGAUCAUUGUUUUUGUUAUUAUCGAAUGCAAAUUCGAGGAGAACCGUGACACUUCCCAGCAGCCCAGCAGCCCAACAACAACAAACAGCAACAGUUGACGCCGGAAGUUGUAAAAUGUCCCUGACGAAAAAGGAUCCGUCGCUGAGAGUCGCCGCCUCGGAUCCGCAUCUCGUUUCUCUGGGCGGCGGACGACUGAGCACCGCCGUCACCAUCCACUACAUACACAUAGGUGACACUACGAUUGGAUCCGCAGCCAGUUGCAGCAUAUCGUUGAAUGGAAGUGGGGUGCGCCCACUGCACUGCACCAUCUACAGGAGCGACGCCAACGAGGUGACCCUGGUGCCCGAAAAGGAUUCUCGCCUGCUGAUCGACGGUGCACCGAUCCUGGAGGAGACGAAGCUUAGCCAGGGGGCGAUGAUCACCAUUGGCAACUCGAAUUAUCUAAGGUUCAACAAUCCGGACGAGGCGCAGAUGAUGCGAUCGGCGAUGGGCUCCAACGAGCGGAUUUCGAUGCCCCAAAUCGAUUUUACACAAUCGGCGAGGCAGGCCCACGAGCUGAGUCAGUCCCUGGAGCUGGAAUCCUUCUACGAGAGCAUCAUUAACCCGAUUAAUAACCCAUCCACCUACGAACUGGAAUGCCCCAAGGUCUUCUCCUCCGAUCUGGUCACUGUGAACAUGCCGGCCAAGGAUGUUUUGGGUCAGAAAUACGCCAGUUUUGCACGUAAUCUCGCCGAGAAUCAUCGCAACGAAAAGCAGCUGAACAAUCAGUAUGCCAAGGGAGUGGGCAGCAAUGGUGGUUACUGGAAUGUGCCCAGCAAUGCGGCAAUCUACAAGGAGCAGCUUCAGCAGCAGCAGCAACAGCCUGCACCGGAUCUACUAACGAAAGUCAAUAACGAUCGCUACGAUCGUUAUCCCAAAGCGGGUGGCCUGCAGAUCUACUCGAUGAAUGGUGUGAAUAGCGAUAUAAAUAAUGGUCCGGCUGCCGGGAAUAAUUCUGGCACUGGCGGUGGCGCCGAACUGGAGGAUAUGCUGAAGAUCUGCACGGAGUACGCGGAUCGGAACAACUCCGUGCCUCCUGCGCACAAUGCUUCCAGUACCUCCAGCAUCACAUCCUCCCCGAUUGUGCAGAACCGCAUCAAAACCAAUGGUUCGUUGCCACGGGACAAGAAUAAGUCACCGUUUCCACAGCAGGCAGGAGCUGGCAGCAGUGCCAAUAUUUCACUUUUGAGUAGUUCCUCUGGCUAUGAGAAUGUACGGUUGCUGGGUCCCAAUCGUGUGGAGAUCAAUGGCCAAAUCCAUGUGCCAGCUUCAGCGGGAGGAGGCGGCUCGUCCAGUGGAGUAUCCGCCAAUGCACUUGCUCCCACGGCUGCGGUCAGGGCCAGCCAUGAGAAUCUUAACCAGAACCAUUCGGCCACUCCAGGUGGCAAGUAUGUGCCACAGAGUCCGAGGACAAAGAUCCGCACCAACUGCAUGUCGCCGAAAAAGGAUGUGUCCUUUGGCAAUGCCUUUGCUUUGGCCAUCAGUCCACCACCUCAGGCAUCCAGCGCUGUAGUCUCUUCAUCCAAACCCAUACCCAUUCCUAGCAUGGUGAAGCCACCAUUGGCACCCAAGCCACCGGCUCCAAAUCAGCAACGUGACUACGAGCAGCUCUUCAAAUCCUUCGAACGAAAGCAGCAGCAAUUGGAUCGAAUGGUGCCCGCCAAGCGGAGUAACAAGAACAUCAACAAUCUCACCCUUAAUCUGCAGUCCGUGGAGUCGCAGACGCAGUCACCCAAACCGAGCAGGAAGCCAGCACCGGCACCCAGAAGCAUUCACCUAGAGCAGCGUCAGCGGCGGGAGCUCAUCCAGCGGCGCAAGCAGCUGAAGCGGGAACUGGCCGAGCUGCCACCUUCAGCGGGGAUCGAGGGAUUGGAGUUGGAAUUGGGCGAGCAGCCCUUAGCCGCCAGUGCCUCGCCGCGUCUGCAAUUGCAGGCCCUGCAGAACCGAGUUCGCCGCCUGGAAGCCCAAAGGAAUGCCACACGCGUCAUGGAGGAGAAUCAGCAGGCCAAACUUAAGCAGUCCAUCGAAAUUAAGCAGGAUCAGCUGAAGAAACUGCGAGCCAUGUUAAAGCAGAAACCAAACAAUGCCUGCCUGAAGGAGGAGCUGCAGCUGGUAUGCGAAUCUUUGGAGAGCGAUAGAAAGACUUUCGAGGACCUGGAGUUUCAGUAUUUCGAGGAGGAGUCCGAGCACCAUGCCAGUCAUGAGGAAUUCAAACGGCAGGAGCAGCGUCUUACCCUGGAGGCCGAAUUGGCCGCACUGCGCAUUCAAAUCGGACCGGAUGAAGAGGAACCCGGUUCGCCCAGCUCGCCGGGAUCCACAGGCAGCAAUCUGGUCAAUGGCGUGAUGUCCCAAUCUCUGUUUGGCUCUGCCGAACUGCUUUGCCCGAAGCGACGAAACCAAGAGGAUUUGAUGUCGAAAAGCGUUAAUGAAAAUAUGUUCUACAAUCAUAAAAUCGAAGCCAACACCAGUACGCCCAAACGUCUGCCCCUUCAGCUUUUCGAGGAUUUGGGCGGCGGGAGUUGUGAGCAGAUAAGCUUCAAUCUUUCGCUGCAAGGCGAUCGCUUUGAGGUUAAUCCACUGGAGAGACGUGUGCCCUCGCAGGAUGACAUCGAUCGCAGCUGCAAGGUGGCCAAUGAUGCGCCCAUCUCCGCCAGUCAGGGUGCCAGCACAAAGAUCUUCGACAGCAUCAUGGAGAUCGAGAGGAAUCGCAAGCUUCUCUUGGCUCAACAGGGUCACCAGGUCAUUGAGCACGAGCGCCAGAAGAUGUACGAUCUGAAAAAGAAGAGCCACGACGAGGCCCGCACCCAGUAUCUGCUCUCCACCCAGCAAUCGAUGGAGCAGCAACGACAGCUGGAAUCGGAUGCCAACGGCGGCAAAGACGCGAAGUUGUUCGAGAAGACGGAACUGCAGAAGCUCAAUCAGAAACCAGGUGACGCAGUGGAUGACCAGGUGCACAAGAUCGGCGGCGAUAAGGAGAAUAAUGUGCAGAAUCGAAAGUCGACGGGCAGUAGUCCCACAACUACAGCAACAACAGCAACAGCAACAGCUGGUGGAACGACACCUCAACAGCAACGGCACUCGCAACCGGAAUUGGAGCACCAUGCCAUUGCCCUGGGCAUGGGAGGCGGCGGAGGAGUAGGUGGUGGCAGCCAAAUGGUGGCGCGAAGUCCGCGUCCGCUUUCGGAAGCCAACAAUUGCGAUGCGACGAUUGAGGCGCCCAAGUUUGGCAACGGAAUGGACUCCUCCUCGUCGCCGGCGGCGGCGGAUAACAAGCGGGCCAGCAGCAAUUCACAGGACACGGCGUCGGCGGGCAGCGGAAGUGGGAACAGCGGAAGCGGUGGCAGCACCGCCAGCGAUCGGAAACGCAUUCUGCCUAAACACCAGCGUCCGCUCACCCGCUACCUGCCCAUCUUCUCGCCGGAUCUGAAUCUGCGCCACCACAUCGAGACGGCUGGCCACCAGAUCGAUCUGUGUCCGCAUGUCUUUGUGGACGCGCACAGUUGUCGCGGUUACCUCCACAAGCUGGGUGCCACGUUUCAUGCGUGGUCGAGGCGUUGGUUUGUCCUGGAUCGCCAGAGGAGCGCCUUAAUUUACUACUCUGAUAAAUCGGAGAGGAAACCACGUGGCGGUGCCUACUUUGCAACCAUCGACGAGGUCUAUCUGGAUCAUCUGAAUGCCUCGAAGAGCGGCCGACCGCAUUGCACUUUUAUUGUAAAAACGAAGAAGCGAAGCUACAAUUUGCAAGCCGCAUCCGAUUCGGCGGCGCGCAUUUGGAUCGAUGCCAUCAUCACCGGGGCCCAGGGUAAUCUGGACUACUAAUGGAUUCCGCGGAGGACCCCAAACACUUCUGCCCAGUGCACAGUCUCAAACUUAGAUGGGAAACAUAUUUAAUGUAUAAGCUCAAAUAACUUAACUAAUAACAAAGAAAACAUGAGGAAAAAGAAAAACGUAGCCAAGUAAGACCAAAAAACAGUUGCUCAACUAGGACAAGGGCAAAUGGAACCUAAAACUUUCUAUUUUUUUGGCGAACUAACGAAAUCCGAGAUUUCAGUACUGGACCAAAGUCAAGAACGUAUUUUUUUAGACCUAUAUAUUAUUAUUUUUAGAAUGUAACGAACGAAUGUAAAUCAAGGACAGCCCCAUGCUACUAACACCGCCAUUCUACAACCCAAUCAUAUGGAUACCACUGACCAAUAGUGGCAGUGCGUUCAACAUACUAAAGAUUUUGAAAUUCUUGCUUAAUUGGACGCCCUGAUAUCAAUAUGCUCGCAUAUAUAUCAUAAACCCUAGAAUAUAACAAUAAACAUAUACAAAUUGUAUAACGAUUUAAAUGUAACUACCAACAUGACUCUUGAACACUUGAAGUUUCAUCGUGAAUUUACCCAAACACUUUAUAAUAUUGUACGCCUAUCUAUUAUAUUGUAUGAAAAAUAUACCAUAUAUUUUGAUAAAUGUAUAAUUGGUACAAUCCAAUCGAGAAAUAGGGAGUCAAACUAUAUUGGCCCAUUACUACGCGUAAGACUAAAACUGAACGAUUUGCUCAGGCAGUUGGAAAGGAUAAUCAAAAGCAAAAGAAAAACUGAGAAAUACGAAACUAAUAAUAACAAUAA
rnacentral:misc_RNA from 1 species